UACGUAGGAGGCAAGCGUUGUCCGGAAUUACUGGGCGUAAAGCGCGUGUAGGUGGUGGGACAAGUCUGCUGUGAAAGCGCCUGGCUUAACCGGGCGAGGUCGGCGGAAACUGUCCGACUCGAGGACGGUAGAGGGGGGUGGAAUUCCCGGUGUAGUGGUGAAAUGCGUAGAGAUCGGGAGGAACACCUGUGGCGAAGGCGGCUCACUGGCCCGGUACUGACGCUGAGGUGCGAAAGCGUGGGGAGCAAACAGG
rnacentral:rRNA from 1 species